rnacentral:lncRNA from 1 species
GCCUAAUACAAUAGGAAAUAAUGCUUUCUGCACAAAGAAGAAAGUAUAUAAAACUUCUGAAGGCAAGAGUCAAGUAAAAAAAAAAUAAAUAAAUAAAAUACUGGAGGAGUUAUUCAAUGCCUUUAAAGUAAUUUCAACAACAGGAAAUAACUGGUAGCAAGUUGAACAUCUAGGAGGAAUGCCUUCUCUGUUUCAUUAGAAGCGUUGAGUGGAGCAAACAGCUAAGCCCUUUUCUCUCUACUCCAUGGGUGAGCCACCGCCACCUCCAAUCAACAACCAUCACCACCCGCCACCCAAGCCACUGGACUCACCCACCACCGGAAUCCUCUCACUGCCUUCUACAACCUCCCACCAACGCUCGCCCAAAAUUUUGCCGGAAACAGCUCCAAUCUUCAAAAACCACCCACCCUUACCACAAAACAACCCUCCCCCACAACCCAAGCCGCCGGUCGCCACCACCAUAGGCGACGGCAAGCCCUUCACUUCACUCCCCCCAUCCCACCUGGCCUCACGCCACUCAAAAUAGCCAUGGCCUCCAUCUAAACUGCGGUCGACCUCCCAAGCGCCGCCCAUAUUUCCGGCCGCACCCAUUCUUCAAAUCAUCCACCAAAUAUCUCCACUCCCCUAGCCGGCGACUCUUAUGGACUAUUAUCAACUAAUUCAGCCAAGAUUCUCAAUGUUCAGAACGCAGGUACUUUCCAGACGGGAUUGUGUGAUAAUGCUGAUUCAAUUGGUGAUCCUCAUGUCUUGUAAGUGGAUAAUUCAACACCCAAUCAUUCAAUUGAGGGUGAAUUGGGACAAUUGAAACCAAAAACAUGUGCUAAGGUGUUAAAUGGGUCUCAAAUAAAUGACGUAGACUUAGAUUCA